UACGUAGGGUGCAAGCGUUAAUCGGAAUUACUGGGCGUAAAGCGUGCGCAGGCGGUUCUAUAAGACAGAUGUGAAAUCCCCGGGCUACACCGUGGAACUGCAUUUGUGACUGUAGAGCUGGAGUACGGUAGAGGGGGAUGGAAUUCCGCGUGUAGCAGUGAAAUGCGUAGAUAUGCGGAGGAACACCGAUGGCGAAGGCAAUCCCCUGGACCUGUACUGACGCUCAUGCACGAAAGCGUGAGGAGCAAACAGG
rnacentral:rRNA from 1 species